CCUUUCUCUGUCGGCAGCUUCUCUCCUCUCUGUCUCUGUUUCUCUCUCGCUCAAGCUCCGCAGAAGCAGAUGGCGUGCACAAGUAGUGGCAGAAGCUCCUCUCGCUGGAGCGCGUGUGCAGGCCGCAGCGGCUGAGGUUGAUAGGUUGCAGCAGGGAUGGCUUCGUGGUCUUCCUGACUUUCAUGGAGUUGUUCAGAGGAGAUUGGAAUGGUAGGCUAGUAGAGUACACCCCUUUACUAUCUUCUCCCUGAGUAUUAGUAAAUGGGUUUCCAUCUUGUUGGAGGUGCCAGAGGUUCCUCCAGCUCAUAAAAGAAGUCAAAGAUGUUGAGGCCGAGAUUCCCUUCAGCUGAAUCAGGGACUUCAUAAAUGUCUCGGCAAGCAAUUCUCACUCGAACAAAUCUGGUUUGGGUUUUCCCUACUAACCCCCCACUUUAGCUAUAGUUCUGAUAGACCAUGAUUCUAUAAUAUGUUCCAAAGAAUCCAUAUUGUUCGUGCAUCAUGAUAUUCAGAAUAAACCAUCUAUAAUUUUAGGAAAUAUAGGUAAUACAAUUUAGUUUACUGAUAACCCUCGACUUGAUUUAAUUGAGUAGACGUACCAUCAGGGAAGCUGACAAGGAGGAUGUCAUUCGGCUUGUGUGGUUGUCAGUAUUCAACUGUCGGAUGUCCGGUUAGCUGAAAAGGCGAAGCUCGAUGGCAUCCGUAAGUGGCGUUGCUAGCUUCUUUUUCUCUGUGCAGGAUUGUUCCUGAGCGAUCAAUGACAAUAUAGUUUUAUGGGGGAUGACAAGAUAUUUAGUUUGGGUAGCUCAUCUUGGACACCUGGUUCUUCACUUGAGCACUAUCUUUUUUUAUAAUGACAUGUUAGCACUUGAGGUGGUUACGAGCGCAUGUAUAGGUUUCUAAUUCGUAUGUUUGUUGACGAUGCGGGUGCCGGAUACCAUAGGUAGAUAGAGGGAGGUACGUUGAGUAAAGAAAUAUCUUUUUGACAGAAAAAUUCUUGAACAUAUGAUUUCUAUGAGUUUACCGUUUGUCCCAUCCCUCGACCACGACACGUGGGUCCAACAUAAGGGGUAAGUGAACCCGAUAUAGGUGAGGAAUGUUUUCAAUUGUUUUUAUCUUUAUAUAGUAUAUACAAGAUAGAUUUCGUAUUCCAUCAUACUAUUUAACCCUAAAUUUCUAGUUAUUUACCAACCUUUACCAUGCUCCGACUUGUGGACCCAAAUGCCUCCGCACCUCCUCCCUCUCUCGCUACCGUUCGACUCCUACAUGGUCCUCGUUCCCGCUAAUGUUCACAGUUGUUGGUGCGAGUGCAAUCUAUGGUCUCGCAGAAGGGUGCAGUCUACUCACCUCCUUUCUUUUUUCAUUGUGCAUUAUUAGUUUACAGCCCAACUCUGCUUUUUUCAUUCUUUCUUUCUCAGCAAGCUGUUGCCGGGCACCACAUUCCAGCACUGCUUCGUUCCAUCGACCUGCAUGGUGUAUCUGCUCUCCUCCCACAACUCAUGUUAAAUGCUAAGUUGCCCGGCCGCUCUUCAAUUUUUGCUCCCUCUCCCUUAUUAAAUAGAUUUGCUUCGUAGCUCUAAUUUGCUUGAAUUUUGGUUAGGAUGCUCGAUCGCUCUUCAAUUUUUGCUCCCUCUCCCUUAUUAAAUAGUUUUUUCUUCGUAACUCUAAUUUGCUUGAAUUUUGGUUACAAUUCCACGCUAGGCCAAUUUGGGGUGAUUCGGCGAAUUCUCAGAUGGGUUUUUUGUUGAUUAGAUUGAUAGGCGUGAUUCAUUUCCCUAUCUAUUUUUCAUCCGUUUCUUGUUUGGUUUCAGUUCAUUUUCCCAAUCUAUUUAUCUUUCUGGUUGUGUAAUUUGAUUUGAAAAUGCCAACGUGCAAAUGCAAUUGAUUGGCAUGAUUAGCUUAUUCUAUUAUUCCAUACACUUAGUUGCGCCAUGUUGCCUCCAGAUCGCUUGAAGAUUCACUUGUCUUCUCGUCGUUUGAAAAUCUUAUUGUUAAAUUAGAUUCCAUUAAUGAGUGAAUAUAUUCUAGAUAUUCAUGUUAGAGUUCAUCUAAACUCUUUCAAUCUCUAACAGUUUAAAUUUCAUCUAAAACAUUUUUUACUAUUCUAAUUGAAUAUUUUUCUCUUCAUGUUACUGUUUGUUCUUCUUUAUCAUUUUAGUUCGACCACAUUUUUAUGUCACUCGUGUUGCCAAUUUUUAUUCUAAUUAAAUAUAUACAAGGCUUGAUUCGAGAAAACAACUACUUUUGUUCCCAGUUAACAAUUUUUUGUUCCACCACAACAUAUUUGGUUUGUUUAGAAUAAACUUAUUUUUAUUAUGUUCCACCACAACAAACUCAUGUUGUUCCAAGUAAACAAAGUUUUUGUCACACGACAACAAAGGUGAUUUAUGUAUUAAACAAUUUGUUUUUGUUCCUGUAGUCUUCAAAAUAUUUUCAUAGACUACAAACUAUAUUUUUCGGUAGCAAACAAAUUUUAUAUAUUUGUACCAUACACCCAGUUGAUUUGGUCCUAGCAAUUUUUUUUCAUGGCAGCAAAGUGGAUUUUGUUUAAAAUAAACUCAUGCAAAAUUUGUUUUUCAAUUUUUUAAUUUUUUUGAUCAAAUAUCAUACAACUAUACAAUAGUUCUCAUUACGGGAAACAACUCCUUCUUAGUUAAUAAUUUUUUCCACUACAACAAAUUUGAUUUGUUUGGAAUAAACUUAUUUUUAUUAUGUUCCAAGCUGUUUUUUGAUUUUUCCACCACAACAAAGUUAAUUUGUUUGAAAAUUUUUAUGUUCCUUUUUUUAGGCCAUGCAAUUUUUGUUCCAGUUAUUUUAACAAAACCAAACUUGACUAUAUUAGGAGAAUUUUAUUUUUCAAAUAUUUUUUGAUAAAGCUCGAACGUAUGGAUUACUGCGAACAAAUACAUUUAUCUUUAUGAAAAAAAUAUUAUAUGUGACGAAAAUAAUGGUAUACUGCUGAAGAUCAAGAACAAAAAUUCGAUGCAUGAAUGUUGUCAACUAAAUAGGAGAGAGGUUAUGCGCAUGCAUAUAAAAGAAGACAACGAAGAUGACAUCAUCUAUAUGCAUGCAAAUUCAAAACUAAAAAAGAGUUAUAACUGCUAAACUAUGCGUUCAAAUUAAUUUGGAUUGCACCAUUAUAUUUCUUAUCAUAAAUUUGAAUUGCACCAUUAUUUUUCUAUAACAAGAUCUUCAAAACUAAAAAAUUAAUUUGGAAUCCUUGGGACAAAUAAUUAUUUUUACAAAAAAUAAAUACAAUGAACAUAUAAUAAUGUAAAAUAAAUAAAAUAUUACACAUUGCGAACAUUUGAUUUAUAUGAUAGAUAAUAAAAAAUAAAUAUCACGAACAAAUGAGUCAACAUUAUGAAACAAUUUAGCCUACAAAGCGAAUAAAUAAUUUAGUGUUGCAAACAAAUACGUUACAUGCAGACAUAAAGAACAAAUGCAUCUAUAUUAGAAAAAUAUUACUAUAAGCACGCGCGCACACACACGCUAAACAAGUUAGUAUACAAUAUAACAAUUGUUUCAUAUAAUGGAUGGUUCAUAAUAUUAUGAUAUUAUAGAAUCUAUAUACUAUUUCUAAAUUAAGCAAUGAUCCCUUGGUCCUUCAAUCAGAAUCUGUACAAUCAAUACCUCGGGUGAUCAUGACACGGCUUGUACAUUGAGUAAAAAGACAAAAUUGGUGGUCUCAUAUAAGUCUAGGUAAAAUUUAUAAAACCCGUGGCAACUCAUGAUCACUAUGCUAGCAAUAUAUUAUUUGCACAAAUGAAACAAUCAAAUAUAUCAUUGUACUUUGGAUAAAUUCAAUAUACUUUUAUUAUUUGCACAAUUAUAAAUAUACUAUGAAAUAAUAAAAUUUUAUUAUAGGGACAAUCUCAUAUACAAUCGGGACUCAAAGAUUUUGGUAACACUUUAAUCACAGAUUAUAAAAUGAAAAUAAACAACAUCUACAUGAUUUAGAAGAAAAAAUAAAUAAGGAAAUAAAUCGGAAAUAAAAUAAUAUAAAAUUAGCAAAAUAAAAUAAUGGAAGAAAAAGAAGCAAGCAACGAGGGAAGAAAAGAGCUAAAAAGGAUACGGUAGAAAAUGAAACAGGUAACGCUUGGAAUAGCAAUGCAAGCCAAAAAAGAAGAAAAUAAAAUGGAAAAACAGGAGAACAAGACACGAGCGCCACAGUUUCCGCCGGAUUCCCUAGUUCGAGAAAUCCAAUUCGUCUUCCACCAUCCAGCUACCAUCUUCUCUCGUUUAAAUAAACGGUACUCCAAGCCAUAUUAUACGACAUGGUUUGGUUCAGUGUUCGUAUUUGCAAAUAUGUUUCUAUAGAUAAAAAUUGAUUAUUUUUUUAUUACUCAGUACAACUCAAACACUCAUAACGCAUGCACAAUCACUCGUAUGAAUGAACGCAGACAAAUCCUAUUCCUAUGAGCAUCUUCAGAGACCGAGCUAGCAAAUUCUCGAAAUUGAUAAAAUCAUCACAGGUGCCACGCUAUUGACGGGAACGUCGCAUACCACUAAAAGCACAAACGCAUUAAAUCUCGUAAAAUUCACUCCCACUGGGAGUCGAACCCAAGACAUGAGUUGCUACCAAUGCUCUUGUAACCACUAGGCUACAUACCAUUUUGCACAUAAAAAUUGAUUUUGUAGGUAUUGUUUGAAUAUGCUAUUAUAAUUUACAUUAAGUAUAAUUUUGGAAAGUGUCACUACUAAAAUAUGAUUUUUAGAAACGGGUAAAAAUUUACUUUUGAGGCAGAUGCGGUACUAGUCACUAGAUCUUGUAGCUAAAAUUCAAUUUCUAAGGGCGGGUAACAUGCCCCUACAAAUCAUUAUCUAAAAAAUUAAAAAAAUAGAGAAGAAACUAAAAAAUAGUAGAAAAAUAUCGCAGCUAACCGGCCACCAACCCAGGCCACUGUACUAUUGAGGUAUAUUUUUUUAAUGAAAUAUGCACACUUGCAUAAAUCGGAGUUCCAACUGUUUACCUCAAGUUUCGCAUGUACCCUCAUCUCCACUACACCACACAGUCACUUGUGACUCCAUGUGAUAUCACUAACAGAAACGCGAAGGGUCUUGAUGGUAUAGGCCGACCGUUAGGAGCCCAAUGUGCACAUCCCGCACCAAAUCGCCACGAAGGAACCUGCUUCUCAAAUCUUAUCCUCUCCGCUCCACCCCCGGCUCCUUAGAAACCUAGGCCGCCGCCGCCGCCGCUCACGCUCCUCCGCCUCCGCCUCCGCCUACCAAUCUGUCUCCGCCUCCCCAUGCCCACGGGGUUCCCUUCGUGCCGCCGCCUGCCUCCAGGCUCACGCCGCCUCGCUCGAGCUCCUCUGCCUCCGCCUCCCUCCAGUUCCUCACAACCCUAACCCUAGGCACAACCUCACCGGCGCCAUGCUUGCCAGUCGGAUCCGCGCCGGAGCCUCCUUCUCCGACCUCGGUACUAGGUGGAUCUGCCCAGCCGCCGCCGCCGCCACAUCCUCCUCCCUAACCUCGGGCCGGUGCUGCUCCUCCCCGACCUCGGCACUGGCGAUGCUCAUCCCUGACCUUGGGCCGGCGCAUUCCUCCCUGAGCUCAGGCUGGCGCUCAGAUAUGUAUGCUUCUCCACCCCGUGCACUUUCUUCUUUGCAUCAUUAGUUGGAAUUUUAAUUUCAUAUGUGAUUUUUCAGAUAAUCUCACUAACUAUAUCUCAGAUUCUAUACUUUACACUUGAUAGACUAUCACAGGGAUCAUUCCCAGAUGUAAAUCGGUCUCAAUUCUUGAUGCAACUAUUGCCUCUUGUACUACACUAAUAAUGCACGGUUCUUCCUACUCUAUGUGUUAGAUCCAUCAACUGCUUCCUUUGACUAUUGUUCUAGCACAUCUUUUUAACUCAUGAAACCUUAUUCAGGCUAUAGGGUCUCAAUCAUCAUGCUUCAUGUUUAUUUAGAUGUUCAUUUUGACUUUUUGGUUGUUUCUUUCAUAUCUGGACAUGUUAGGUCACAAGAUUAAAAUUCGAGUUUACUAUGGGUAUGUUCAUUACAUUUCUCUGCUGUUCAAGUUGAUCAGCAAUGCCUUAGUAUCAUGUAGAUUUUAAUUAUCUGACCUUUUAUUUUUAGGUUCUCGGAAUCUAGAUAAGUUUCUACAAAUAUAUGUUGUAAACUUGCUAGAGAUGUAUGGGACUACCUACCACUGCGAUUGGAAUCAUUCUUUUCACAAGAGUUACCAAUUUGUUUUCCCUUGCCAAGAUGCUUUCAACUAGGAUGAGUUUUGAUUAUUAGUUCCAAAAUCGUUUCAUUAUAAAUCUGUACACAAGCUUGCAGGAGAAUAAUAUAGCUUCAACCUAUAGGUGCCAUGAUGAUUUUUGUUUUAAUGAAUUUGAAGUACCAGACAUUUGGAGGCAACCAGCUCAAGUGUACUUGCAUGUUGGCAGAAUCAAAUUUAUUUGUUAGUCAUCUAUAUAUGAAGCAUCACUGUUGUACUUUGCUGGAAUUUGGAAGUUGAGUGCCUCUGUUAUAUCCUAGUUCCUAUGCUGCUUGUGUGUUUACCUAAAAUUGUCUUGGGUUCACUUAUGCCAUAUCAUUAUAUUGCAGAACGAGUGAACGACAUGGAUUGCAGGUUUCAUUAGCUAGAGCUAAGGGUCCAACUUUGCCAACAAGGUGAUAUAUCAGAGGAUUCUGAAAAGACCAUACCAGUAUUGGGGCUUGAUAGAUUUCCAGAGGUACAAAAAUACAGCAACACAGAUCGCCAUCCUUUAUAUUACUACAGUUCAACCUCAAGGUGAUCUUCAGUUACAUUUUUUUUCACUUAGAGUCAUAUUGAGUUGUCUACAAGUUCAAAAAACUAGUUGGGAGUCUUGUAUACAAUGAGUUAUAUAGAAUUUUAUGCUAAUAACUUGAUGGAUGACUAUGUGGUCUGUAUGUACAAAUUGUAAAUGACAUGUAUUUGAAACUAUUCUACAAAUUAGAUUUGUUGUAAUCA